CUAAGAAUAUUCCGCAAUGGACGAAAGUCUGACGGAGCGACGCCGCGUGGAUGAUGAAGGCCGGAAGGUUGUAAAAUCCUUUUAUGACUGAGGAAUAAGUGAAGUGAGGGAAACGCUUCAUGGUGACUGUAGGUCAUGAAUAAGCAACGGCUAAUUACGUGCCAGCAGCCGCGGUAACACGUAAGUUGCGAGCGUUGUUCGGAAUUAUUGGGCGUAAAGGGCAUGUAGGCGGUUUUGCAAGCUUGGUGUGAAAUGCCGGAGCUUAACUCCGGAAUUGCGUUGAGAACUGCAUAACUAGAGUCACUGAGGGGCA
rnacentral:rRNA from 1 species